AUGGCUUUUAAACAUACCAGAAAAACACCCGUGGAGUCAGAGGUGGCAAUUCACCGAAUUCAUAUCACUCUAACGAGUUGCAACGUAAAAUCCCUGGAUAAGGUGUGUGCUGACUUGAUCUGAGGAGCAAAGGAAAAGAAUCAGUGAAAGGACCAGUUUGAAUGCCUACCAAGACUUUGAGAAUCACUACAAGAAAAACUUACGGUGAAGGUUCUAAGGCAUGGGAUCGUUUCCAGAUGAGAAUCCACAAGCGACUCAUUGACUUGCGCAGUCCUCAGAUAGUUAAGCAGAUUACUUCCAUCAGUAUUGAGCCAGGAGUUGAGAUGGAAGUCACCAUUGCAAA
rnacentral:lncRNA from 1 species